ensembl:lncRNA
CACCCAAUAAGAACAUGACUCUUGUCUCUUUUUAUUGGUAUGUAACAGUUAUGAAAGUUGUAUUGUCAACUUGUUUGGUUAUUUUUAAAAACGCCACUUUAAAACGUGUACAUGACACCAACAAACUGUCCCCAUGGGGACAAUAAAGUCAGUACAGUAAAGACAGCAGGCUCAUGUUCCUAUCCACCCAGUAAGACCAGCAGGCUAAUGUUCCUAUCCACCCAGUAAGACCAGCAGGCUCAUGUUCCUAUCCACCCAGUAAGACCAGCAGGCUAAUGUUCCUAUCCACCCAAUAAGACCAGCAGGCUAAUGUUCCUAUCCACCCAAUAAGACCAGCAGGCUAAUGUUCCUAUCCACCCAAUAAGACCAGCAGGCUAAUGUUCCUAUCCACCCAAUAAGACAGAAAGUCAGUACAGUAAAGACAGCAGGCUAAUGUUCCUAUCCACCCAAUAAGACCAGCAGGCUCAUGUUCCUAUCCACCCAAUAAGACCAGCAGGCUCAUGUUCCUAUCCACCCAAUAAGACCAGCAGGCUCAUGUUCCUAUCCACCCAAUAAGGCCAGCAGGCUCAUGUUCCUAUCCACCCAAUAAGACAGAAAGUCAGUACAGUAAGACCAGCAGGCUAAUGUUCCUAUCCACCCAAUAAGACCAGCAGGCUCAUGUUCCUAUCCACCCAGUAAGACAUAAAGUCAGUACAGUAAGACCAGCAGGCUCAUGUUCCUAUCCACCCAGUAAGACAUAAAGUCAGUACAGUAAGACCAGCAGGCUAAUGUUCCUAUCCACCCAAUAAGACCAGCAGGCUAAUGUUCCUAUCCACCCAAUAAGACAUAAAGUCAGUACAGUAAGACCAGCAGGCUAAUGUUCCUAUCCACCCAAUAAGACCAGCAGGCUAAUGUUCCUAUCCACCCAAUAAGACCAGCAGGCUAAUGUUCCUAUCCACCCAGUAAGACAUAAAGUCAGUACAGUAAAGACAGCAGGCUAAUGUUCCUAUCCACCCAGUAAGACAUAAAGUCAGUACAGUAAAGACAGCAGGCUAAUGUUCCUAUCCACCCAAUAAGACCAGCAGGCUCGUGUUCCUAUCCACCCAGUAAGACAUAAAGUCAGUACAGUAAAGACAGCAGGAGAGUGGGAAAACAAGAGAAGGAGAGAAUGAACGUGAAAGAGGAGAGGAGAGAAAGAGCGUGGGAGGAUGAGUCACCACUUAGGAGCAUAAUAUCUAAAUUAACCUCGGGUUGGAAACAAAAUUAUUUCCCAAUAGCUUUGUUCUGAACAGAAACAUUUAAAAAAAAAAAUUUAAAAAAAAUGUUUUUAACAAGUGUAGUGUAGGGUACGAUAUGUGACUGAAACUUUGCAGGUGAGGAGAACUCUGGGUAAUAAAGCGCUGGGCAUCUUGUUGUUAUGACAUGCAUGACUUGAAUUUGCAAAAUUAUACCUACGGAGGAGUAGCUUCUAGAGAGGAACUUUGAAUGUCUUUUAACUUCAGAGAGUUGUCUUAACUAACGUUGGACCAGAACUAGCCCUUGGCCAUGACUCAGUUCCAUUGCAUUACACAUGAUGUCGCAUCGAGUUUGAGAGAGCUAGACCUGAGCUAGCUAGCGGGCUAGCUAGCUAACAGGAAAGCUUGUGUGUGUGCAGAGUGGCAGCAGAAAUAAAGUAAACAAUCCAAUGUGAAACGUGAUAACUGUAGUAUCCUUAACAUUGAAAACGUUCAGAACUCUUCUCUAAUUAAACCACUCCCUCAUUUCUGAAUCAGUCCUGUAAAGGUAGUAGCUACAGUAGAC